rnacentral:misc_RNA from 1 species
GAUGAAGAACGCAGCGAAAUGCGAUACGUAAUGUGAAUUGCAAAUUCAGUGAAUCAUCGAGUCUUUGAACGCACAUUGCGCCCCCUGGUAUUCCGGGGGGCAUGCCUGUCCGAGCGUCAUUGCUGCCCUCAAGCACGGCUUGUGUGUUGGGCCCCGUCCUCCGAUCCCGGGGGACGGGCCCGAAAGGCAGCGGCGGCACCGCGUCCGGUCCUCGAGCGUAUGGGGCUUUGUCACCCGCUCUGUGGGCCCGGCCGGCGCUUGCCGAUCAACCCAAAUUUUUAUCCAGGUUGACCUCGGAUCAGGUAGGGAUACCCGCUGAACUUAAGCAUAUCAAUAAGCGGAGGA